rnacentral:misc_RNA from 1 species
UACGAGGGGGGCAAGCGUUGUUCGGAAUUAUUGGGCGUAAGGGGUGCGUAGGCGGUUUGACAAGUCUUAUGUGAAAUCUAUGGGCUCAACCCAUAGUCUGCAUGAGAAACUGUCGGGCUUGAGAGUGGGAGAGGUGAGUGGAAUUUCCGGUGUAGCGGUGAAAUGCGUAGAUAUCGGAAGGAACACCUGUGGCGAAAGCGGCUCACUGGACCAUUUCUGACGCUGAUGCACGAAAGCUAGGGGAGCAAACAGG